CUCUUUAAGUGUCCGAUUGAAAACUGUAAUCGUGGGUUUGUUUCCCAAGGUAACAUGAGGAGGCAUGUGAAAGAACUCCACAAUGAGGAUGAUGCUUUGGCUAAUGUUGGAGGUCAGAAGCAGCAUGUAUGCCAGGAUUGUGGAAAGGUGUUCAAAUUUGCUUCAAAGCUGUGGAAGCAUGAGAAUUCUCAUGAAAUCAAAUCUCCAUCAACAUGUCAGGGCAGUACACCUUGAACAUAAACCCUUUGUCUGUAGCUUUUCAGGUUGUGGCAUGAGAGCAUGAGAAGACUGGACGUCACGUGUAUGCAUAUGGGGAUUUUGAAGAGGGUGAUGAGCAAUUCCCAAGGCCAAGGGGCGGCCGUGAGAGGAAGUA